rnacentral:sRNA from 1 species
GGAUGUGAGGGCGAUCUGGCUGCGACAUCUGUCAUCCCAUUGAUCGCCAGGGUUGAUUCGGCUGAUCUGUCUGGCUAGGCGGGUGUCCCCUUCCUCCCUCACCGCUCCACGUGCGUCCCUCCCGAAGCUGCGCGCUUGGUGGAAGAGGACGACCAUCCCCGAUAGAGGAGGACCGUUCUUCGGUCAAGGGUAUACGAGUAGCUGCGCUCCCCUGCUAGAACCUCCAAACAAGCUCUCAUUUUUACAUUUACUUACGUGUGUAUACAUUAUUU